GACGAACGCUGGCGGCGUGCUUAACACAUGCAAGUCGAAUGAAGUGGCGAACGGGUGAGUAACGCGUAAUCAACCUGCCCGUCAGAGGGGGACAACAGUUGGAAACGACUGCUAAUACCGCAUACUGAAGGAGGGGAUUGCGUCUGAAUAGCUGGUUGGAGGGGUAACGGCCCACCAAGGCGAUGAUCAGUAGCCGGUCUGAGAGGAGGAACGGCCCCAUUGGGACUUAGACACGGCCCAGACGUCUACGGUAGGCAGCAGUGGGGAAGUUUUCGCAAUGGACGAAAGUCUGACGGAGCAACGCCGCUUGAGUGAUGACGGCCUUCGGGUUGUAAAGCUCUGUUAAUCGGGACGCGGUACCGGAAUAGAAAGCCACGGCUAACUUCGUGCCAGCAGCCGCGGUAAUAC
rnacentral:rRNA from 1 species